GCUAUUAGGGCGGGGCUUUGUCGGGGGCGGGGCAAUGGUGGCUGCUCGUGUGUUACCGGAAGCGGCCUAAGGCAGCGAUGGCAGAGCCGCAGCGUGAGAGGCAGCCCGGUUGUGGCAAAAGGAGCACGGACUCGUCCCCUGGCCUGCCGGGCACAUCCCCCCCCGCUGGGACAGCAGCCCCUGCAGCUCCCCCCGCCAGGGUAGCGCCCCCUGGGCCAGGCCCAAGCCCCCCUCCCAGGGCCGCUCCCCCCGUGGCGCCCCCUGCCAUGGCAUCACCACCUGUGCCAGGCCCAAGCCCCCCUGCCAGGGCCGCUCCCCCCACUCCAUCUGAAACAAUAUCCCCCAAGCCAGCUGAGGAAACGCCCGUGCUGCUGGAUGACGUGCGAUACCAGAUCGCGUGCACCAACUGGUACUAAAGCUGUCCAGCGCCACAGCAUCUGGAGGGCGAGUCCCAGACCCUGGUGCGCCAGGCACCCAGGGAUACAGAUGGGCUCCAUGUCGUCCCCAGGAGCACCUGUGUCACUGUCCCCCUUGAAGAUGACAUCCUGCGUACUGCUGCAUCUGAUACUUUGAAUAAAGAGCCAGGGUCAAAGCUGCUGAGUUCCUGCUCUUCUCUCCUGCUACUAAGCUCCCAGUUCUACCAGCCUUCAUGCUGAUAUCCCCAAAUCACCAGGACAGCGACCCUGGCCGUAACCAUGGGGCUUUACUCUUUCCCCUCACCCACAAAAACUUUCCUUCCCAAGGGGCCAUAUCCCCUCUCUCCCCCGUGCACACGUGUCCUGCCUUCUUGUGCUUAACAGAGCACACUGUGCUGACUGCACAGCUUGCGGUUUUCAGAAUCAAAUCCACUUUUUGCUGGAUUGGUGCUUCUCCCCAACAGAAGAUAUUGCUUUACCAAAAUUCACCUUCCAACCCCCCACCCCACCCAGUUGAGCUACAGAGUUGUUGAACACAUUAGGCCAGGUAUUUUUAAUAAUGGUGAGUGUAUUCCCUCUCCCACGGCUCUAAUACUUCAAGGCAGCUGAAACCUUUUUUAAUACUGUCUUCUGCCAGAAAGCAAGUGUGAAUAGCAGGAGCCCAAACUGCAUGAGGUUUGCAGACCCGUGAGUGACUGGAAGCGGUGUGAAACGGAAACCAUUGUAUAGCCUAAGUUGGAGAAGUUGGGGCUGCCUCUACCAUCAUUUUUGCUGCUCUCUUCCUGAAAUGCUGAGUAAAAUAAUUGCCUUUA